rnacentral:tRNA from 1 species
GGUGUAGCCCAGCGGUAGGGCGCCUGCUUUGGGAGCAGGAGGUCGGGAGUUCGAUUCUCCCCACC